ensembl:lncRNA
UAAAUACAAAUAUUUAAUAUAAAUAUAUAAUAUAUAUCAAGAUAUCUUACAUAUAUGUAAAAUGUUUCAAACCUUCUUAUAUUUUAGGAAUAAAUCUACCCUCACCUGGCACUUUUUGUGAGCUUGCAUCCUAGACCUUUGUAUAUUCUUCCUCCUGUUCAUUUAUGUUCAUUACUGGAUUUUCUGCCUCCAGUCCUAACAGGAAAAGAGUAUACAACUAUUCUCCCAUUCUUUCUGACACAAAGUCAAAUACAGCGAUCAUUUCAUCUUAAUCAGCUCUAAGACACUAGUGACUAAAAGGAUUCCAGAGACUUUCAUUCUUCUCUCCCUGUUUUCCCUUUCUCUGAGCUUUUUGAUUGUUGCCUUGUUUCUCCUUACCCAUCUUUUAUCCCAUCUCUUUCCCUUAUUUCCUUUUGACAGUACUUUUGCUUUUUAAAACAGAUCUCUUUAAAUUCUAAGGAGGGAAGGACCUCUCUGUGGUGAAUGUGGCUCCUGUAUUAAUUCUAUUACAGUAGUUUUACUGACUGGGGUCAGUGCUUUAAUUCAUCAUCUUAGCCUUUCUUCUCUCAUGUUCAGAAGUGUGUGAGGAGGAUCUCUAGCAUUCUGCUAGAGGGUGAUAAUGCUGUAGCUUUCAGAAGAAAGGAAUUGGAAGCAAGAGUGAAAGUUAAGUACUCUCCUUAUACCUGACCAGCACCAGAAGAUCUUAUAACUGGUGUUAAAUCUCAUGUUCUUUACCUACAAGUAGCAAUGUCAGUUUAUCACGGUUUUGUCUUGGGCAAAUGAAUUUCUGGCUUACAGUACAAAGUAAUAAGCAUAUUUGGUUAUUUCAUUGUGUUCUUGUCAUCAUUAAUAAAGAAAUUUUCUGUAUUAUGUGUCCACAGCAAUUUUUCUUAUCCAAGAGAUUUGUUUUUCCUCUUUAUUUUCUUGAUGACAAGCUUAGAAACUGGCAUAAGGUGACAAAACAUUUAAAAAACAAACCCACAAACUUGUGUAAUCAUAGGUUGAGCAUAUCAUUUCAAUAAAUAUCUCACUCUGACUCACAUUUUAUAUUAAUUGUUUAAAUCUGUUUUAUUUCUGGUGCUGAAAUACGCUUGGACUGAGUUCAAAAUAUUUCCCAAAGUUUAUGUGCCCAUCAUCUAAAAUUAGUGGCUUGAAUACAUUCCUAUGGCCAUUAAUUGCAGUCUGGUCUAAUAACCUUUAUUCAUAUUGAUGGGAUCUAUUCCUGAGUGGUAAGAACUCAACUGAGCAGUGAUUAAUUACAUAUAGUACAGUUUAAAAUGACAAACAUACUUUCAAAACCCAGGAAAACAAAGCCAAAAUCUAUUUAAAGGAAAUGAGAUUAUUUGGAGUGGGCUACUGGAUCCACUAAUGUCAGCAGGAGUUUUGUCAUUCAUAUCAGAGGAACCUUUCCAGAUGCCUGGCUAGUUAUUCAGGCUUUAGAUUUGUCUGAAUGCAAAAUAGAAGUGGGAUGGUUUUUUUGUUUACCAAUACAAUUACAUUGCAUUGGUAUGCACUGUAAUUAUAUUAAAUAAAUACAUAAGGGUUGUUUAUGACUACGUACUGAAGCAUAAAUUUGAGGAUGUCUGCAAUAAAAUCAGUUCUAUUUGCUACAAGAAAAUUUAAUUUUCUGGACAUUCAUUGUAUCAACAGAAAAAUAAAGAAGGAACAAUCCCUAAAAUGUCUAUGCCCGUGCCCUUUUUCUUGGUCUUAAUGUAAGACAUUGUAUUUAGGUAAUCCUACAACAGAAGAAAACAGUUUGCUGUUGAUAUGCUAUUACUUUCAAAAAUGGCAUUCUAGGACUUUGGGUUCUCUGAGCUAAGUAAGAGAAUGUUUCAAGUGCAAGAGAAAAUCAGUCUACAAAUGACUACUUCAUAUUGAAAUAUGCAGUUCACAUAGUCAUACAGAAAACAGGGAGAUCAUCAUUAUUAAAAUCAUUCUAUACUCCAGAAAUGCCCCUAGGGCACUCCGACUGCUAAUGGAUGCACCAUUUACAAGACCAUACCAGAGCUAUUCACGAUGAAACUCCCCUGAAUUUUGUGAGUGUUUAGGUCCUCUGUAUCAAAUAUUCUGAAUUACAGAUCCAUUUAUUUUACACCACAUUAGUUACAAGUGAAGAUACUGUUUGUGAAGUCAACAUUAGGAGGAAAAAUUUCACCAAGAAAGGCUGGAAUGACUAGGGGAUAAAAUGAAGCUUUUGUUUUUAAGAAGUAGCUGAAUCUGAGCUGUAGGACAGGGACUUGAUGAAAACUUCCUAAUCCUCAAACUAUUAUUAUGUCACAAGUGAACUAAUCACAAGCAAACUACAAAUCAAAUAUCAAACCAACCAACCAACCAAAAAAACAAAACAAAACAAACAAACAAACAAAAAAACCAAAACAAACAAACAAAAAAAAACCCACCCAAAAAACCUCAACUAGAAUGUCAACAGGGAGUCAUUUCCCUGUUUUAACUCUAUUUAUUCAACAAAAGCAUAACUUUAGAGAAAAAAAAACAAAACAAACAAAAACAACAACAAUAGCAACAAUACUUCCUUUAGGGAAGUCUUUGGAAUAGGGAGAGUUUAUCCUUGUUCAACAGUGGAAAAUGUUUAGCCAUGUCGCACAGAGAAAUAAAAUGAAUGAGUACUGCUAAAACGUGGGUAGUUUAGCAACACAGAAAAGUCCUUUUGGGUCACAAGCUGAUAUAUUCCUUUGAGUAUUGAUAUAAUGUGCCCAGGGAGGUACUUGAAAUGGAGACAGUAACUCUGUUUCGUGAUUCCCUAAAAUGUCAAUUUUAACCAAUAACGUUUCUUAAAAUUGGCUGCCACUACUACCUGACUUUAUAUAAGUAUUUGGGCAGUAUCCAUAGCCAUGGCAGGCCUGCUAUAUUACUUGUAGAUGGUAACAAAUGAUUUUUCAUGUUUAACAGGUUCAACUCAGACAACUUUCUUUACUUUUGGGUUUUAGGCCUGUUAAUCUAUUUUAAACAACAUGCUCUCCUUGGAUAUUGUAGAAAUGUUUUUCCUGUUUAGACAAAUUGGCAGUAAGUCUCUUGUUAUUAGAAACAGAUUUCGUGCAGUCUGCUUCCAAGUGCUUCACCUCUGCUGCUCCUUCAUGGUCAUUCUCUGCCCUGCUUCAUGUGGGGUCUCACAUCUUGAACUGAUGCCCAUGGCCUUCCCACAGGAUGCAGCUCUCCCAGCACUGCCAGCUCAGUAGCAUGGGUACCAAAACAUCACCAAGAAAACCGACUACAUUAAGAUAGGCAGUUUUAGAAUCUUUAUAGACUGUUGUAUGAAUAUGCAUGUCAAAUGCACAUGUUCUUAGUGUGAUUUUACUUUAACUUCUUUAGUAACAUGACUUCAUUCUGUAAUAGACUUUUUAUGAGUUUUAUAUUUUAUCUAAAUUAAGACCUCCCAUUUCCCCCGUAGCAAAGAAAGAAGAAAGUUUGAAUUAUUUUAUGCUACCAUUUUGCUAAUACAUAUAAGUAUAUAUAAAUAUUUCUUUCAAGUGAUACUUAAAUUUAUAAAGCAUCCAAAAGUUAGAUUAAAGAUAUCUCAAAAAACUUUUUUCCCCUUUGAUAAAGAAAUGCCCCGUAAACAAUCUUUUCCAUCUGACCUAAACUGUUGUUCUAACUUCCUGCUUCUUUGUGCUUGUUAGCCUUACUCUAUAGUUUGGCUAGUGAAGUGAGAAAUUAAUUAUUUGCACAGCCUAGGGGUGAGUGGACAACAUAGUUCUGGUUUCAUCUUUGGAUGCUGUAAAAGAAGAGUGAAAAGCUGUGUUUUAUUUUGUUCAUUUAAAUUUUUCCCUUAAUAAAUCUAGUCAGGCAUGCCUUGCCAAAGAGUUUCCAAGAGUGUGGAUUGGAGAGACCCAGUUAGGAUCCAUCAGUAAAUUAUUUUGCCUGUCAUUUCAUUUGCUGUUAGAAACACCCAAUAACUUUUUCUCUUUUUAAUGUUUUCUGGCAAAACACCACCUCAUCUCCUUUUUUUUUUUUUUUUUUUUUUUUUUUUUUUUUUUUUUAAUAUUUUUCACAGGCUGUGUCAUGCCUUUGUGGGUUAGGACAUUGUAUGACUCAUGGUUUUGUGUCCUUCCCUUGACUACAGGUGCAGGUAGCCGGUAUUUGAGUGUAUUUCACACUUUCUGAACUGUCCUCUCAGACACCAUUAGAUUUGACAAGAUUUAAAAUGCUUGUCACCAAAAAUUAAUAUACUCAAUGUUUGUUUGUUUGUUUUCCAAAAAUGUAUUUGAGGUGUUUUAAAUUUGGAUGUCUAACUUCAGUCAUGCUAGAGGGAACUUAUUUUCUGAAGAGAAAUAAUAUCACAGAUAUUUGCACUUCUACAAUUUCUUAUUUGUACUGUCUUAAAUGCUAUCACAUGGUUGCUGCCAGGACUCAGUACUUGUAAAUCUAUUCUGACAGUCUUUGAUUAGAUGAUUUCUGUUUCCAUCUGUUUUUUCAGUUCCACAGCUUUUGUUAUUUUUUUUCUUUCUUUCUCUCUUAUAUGCCUCCAUCAUACUCCAAUUACUGCUAUAUAAUUAUUAAUUAUAUCUAGCUGUUAUUUUGGCUACUGAUCACCUGCAAUCCAAUUUGCAAUCAAAUAUGUGUUAAAUGUAUUGUGUUUUGUUUUGUUUUGUUUUGUUUUCCUGGAAGUUCCUGGUGCCACCUAUUGGUUUAAAUAUCGAAAUGCAACUGUAGUAAAUAGCAUAAAAGCAAAGACGACUGCAGAAAUAAGCAUUUAAGCCAAGCAUUAAUUAAUUAAUUUAUAAAAGUCAUAUGUAUAUGCAUUUCUGUUACACAUAGGUACCAAUACUAACUUGAAAUAUGCAUCAAUAAUAUGCAUAAUACUAAAGAUAAUGCAAAUUCUCAGUUCUUGUAACUUUAUAAAGUUUACAGUGUUUUCUGAAUUUAAAAGAAUCAAAUAAAGAUCAACACUCCUUCAUAACUGAAAACAUCACUGAUAAAGCAUUGUAAAGGUGGUGUGACAGCUUUUGAUUGUUUCUGUUAAUUUGGCAUUUUAUUAAGGAAUAUGUAUGAAUUUUAAACACGUCUCUUAAUGGCAGUUUUGUAGACUUAUUUCACUAUGAGAUAUAACCCCCAUCUUAAUUGGUGAUUAGAAAUAGACUUUUUAAUGUGGAUAGAAACAUAAUAUAGACAUUUUUUCUCUGUAGUAUGUUGUCUUAUUGGAUAGAUAUAUUUUGUUGCAGAAUGAUACUUCAUUUCUAAUUUACUUAAGGAAUGUAACUUCAGGUACUUUACCAACCAGGUCAAAAUAGAAAACUACUCACGGCUCUGUUGUAGUACAUUUCUGAGCACAGAGAAUGUAGAAAUAGUGAAUUUGAAGAGCUGCAAAUAUAGGGUCAGAAACGGAGCUAGUCCAUUCACUCUGAUACAAGAUCGGGGUUGAAUGCAAGAAAACAAUGAGUCAGUCUGAAGUGGCUAUUCUGGAUGCAUAAAAAAGCCUGAAAUAUUCAUGUACCCUAAAGAAGCCAUAAUUCCGCAGGCAACGUCCCAUGGCAAAACAAGUUUUAGAUUUACAAAAAAAGCUGUUUCCAGACUGCUAAAUGAUUUCCUGCCUCAAGUUUUUAUUAGUUAUCAGAGUGAUACAUGGUUUGUUUAAUGAAGCUGAAACACUUUUUUUUUUUUUUUUUCAAGAGAUCGCAUUUAAAAGUUAAGCUGAACAAGAGGUGUUAUUAGAAGUCUGAAAUGAAGUACUACAUGAGUUGUUGCUUCUCCAGAAAAUCUGAAAGCAGAGCAAAGUUUGGAAAGCCUUACUCUUUUAUCUUUUUUGAUUACUUUUCCUAUUCUCAUUGUUUUCUAAGACUGGAAAAUCACUGGACAUUCAGCUCAACUCAAUAAAUAGUUGUCUCUAACUGUUUGAUCUCCCAUAGUUUACAGAUAAGAAGAAUACAGCCAUGACAGAGUUACGUUUAGAGUUUCAAAGCUAUGGUAACAUAGCCUUAGGAAACGGUGAGACAACCUUAAGCUUGCUUCUAACUUUUUGGAUGACUUUAGACACGUUAUUGUGUUCUCAGUGCAGAUCUUUAUUUCUAGCCAUGCAUUUUUGAAGAUGCAUGUUCUCAAAUACUGUGUUCCACACAGUGGGCUAUCUCAGAGACUACAGAGUGAGUAGUGAUAAUGCACAGUCUUUACAUCAGCAGUAUUGCAUAAUUGUAAAAGGUUAGAUUACAAAAUAGUGCUACAACUACCUAGAAAAAUGAUGUAUGAUUCUGACCUAUUCUUGACUUAGGCUUUUUUUUUUUUUUUUUUUUUCUGGGAGUAUUCCUUGUAAUCAUCACCCUGUUAUCUCAGCACCUGAACUGCUCAAUUUUAAUUGCACAUUUUGUCUCUACUAUGUCUUCACAUAAUUAAUCUGGGAGAUAAAUAGUAGAUUAUGUGAAUUAUUAUUAGUUUACUCACAUAUAACAAGGGAGAUUUUAAUUCUGCUUUCCAAAAGUCAAGCAGUAACUGGUUUCCACUGUAGUAAAGUAUUCUAAAUCUGCUUUCCUUCCAAAAACUGAUUGCAUAGAUAUGUCCUCUUCUCACACAACAGAUCUGUUCCUUACAUUUUUAAAAGGCAAGUCUAUUUAUUUUAAUGUCAGAAAUAAUUUUACUUUCUUCCCUCAGAGGCAAAUAAGAAAGUCUUGUCUACUAUUCUUCUUUGAGGAGAUCCACUGAAAGUGAUUUAUAAAAGCCACUUAUACCCUAACUAAAUCACAGUGAGGCCACUCCAUGUAUACAGACUUCAUUUGGAUCACAAAAAACAAACAAAAAGAAAUUAAUACAUAAUGGGACUUAAGGAAAGGAGUUUAUGAAGGGAAACACUUAGGAAGAAGGACAAGAGGCAACAUGUCUCCUUUCUAUCCAUGUCACUAGUUUUGUAGAAUGUUUUGUGUUGAGUCGCAAGUUAUCCAGGUGAAGGCACAGUGGUGCAGCACUCCACUCUUACCAUCCGUUCUUUCAGCUGGCAGAAAACUUGACUUUUCAUGCCUGGCUCUUGAAAAGAAAACUUGUUACUGUAUGUAGUAGAGCUGAGGUGAGAAUCAUUGAGAAACUGCAAGUUGAAAGCACUGUAACACCAAUUCAGAGUGUAAGGUUUCUGACUAGAAUAACACUUUAACCUCUGUAUUUCAGUUUUUCCAUGUGUUAAAUGUGGCUCAGGAUAAUUACUUCCUUUCCUCACAGGGGUGUUGUGAGAAUUAAUUAGUUAACAUUUGUAUGGAUCUUCCUAGAUACAAAGUGUUAUAUGUGUGCUAAUUAGUUUGAUUAUUAUUAGCAGUGUGUCAUUUGCACUGUCAGGAAACCCAUACAUUAAUAAUCCAGAAUAACAGCUCAGAUUUAUAUAUUACAUUUUAGCUAACAGAUUAGAAAUGCCUCUCUUAAAAGAAACAGUAGAAGAAAUAAAGGUAUGCAUUGUGUAGCUAAAUAGGUUUGUCACCCAAGAGUGCCAUUUUAAUCUCAUAAACAUUAACAAAAUACUGCUGUAGUGGGUUUUAAUUCUCAAAGCAAUCAUGAAAACUAUUUUACCACAUAGGUGUUCUGGACACUGGAUCUUCAAUUACAGGGAAAAUUUAAAAGUGUGUAGAAAGAUGGCCUUUGGAUGAGAGGUAGCAUCCCACUAGAUAUGAAUAUAUCCAUAAUCAGGCUCUUAGAAUUGGCUAUAAUUAAGCAGUUGGCAGUAAAUCUCUCUGUAUAUGUUUCCAGUAGUGUCAUUCAUAAGGCUUGAGGCUAAAGCUAAUUCAUAUUGGCCUUAUGUACUAAGAAAAGCAAGAAUUCACUGGAAGUAUGCCCCAGGGUGGCACUUCUGUGUUAUAGGAGAAAGAACGUAUUAAAAGAAAAAGAAUGAGCUUUCAUGAGAACUGUAACAUAGGAAAACUCAUUUCCUAGAGAUGUGUCUGGAAGUCAUUCACACUGCCUUUCAAAGACCAGAACAAUAUUAUUAGAUAUACUAAGGGGGAAAAAAAAAAAGAAAAAAAAGAAAAAAAAAAGAGAAGUACCCUGUAUAAAUCACUCCAAAAAGCAAGUCUGACAAAUGAAGCUCUUAUAAUAGGUGAUGGUCCCUGUACUACCCUUUUUCGUUAAAUUUUCAUAAUCAGAAGUAACUGCAACUCAUUCCUCUCUUUGCUCUCUCUGGACUUCCCAGGCCUUUAUUCGUUUCCCUUUCCUAUUAUCAUCCUCUCUAUGUAACCUUUCUAUUUAUUCCAUUUUAUCCUUAUCGUGUCUUGAUUAAUUCCCUUCUCUUCCCACACAUCAUAAAUAAGAUGCUUCUCUUUCUGUAAUAACACUGUAUGUCAUGAAACACUAACGUCACAGUGAGCUAUGCUUUUAUAUGUUGAAAGCAGUGAGUUACAUGACAAGAACAUUGCAACCAUAAACCCUCUGGAGUUGGGAAUAUAAUUCCUCUCCUAGUUAUGUGCCUAAACUGUCUCCAAUUUCAGGUUGGUGGAUGAUGGUUUGGUGAUGAUCCAGCAGUGUGUCGCGGUGGCCAAGAAGGCCAAUGUGAUUUUGGGUUCAUUAGAAGGAGUGUGGCCAGCAGGCCAAGGAAGGUGAUCCUCCCCCUCUUCUCUGCCCUGGUCAGGCCUCACCUGGAGUACUGUAGCCAGUUCUGGGCUCCCAGGUAGAAGAAAGACAGGGAUCUUCUGGAGAGAGUCCAGCAGAGGACCACAAAGAUGAUAGAAAGCCUGAAGAAUCUCCCCUAUGAGUGACGUGGCUCUGUUCAGCCUUGAGAAAAUAAGUAUGAGAGGUGAUCUUACUAAUGUUUAUAAAUAUAUUAAGUGCGGGAAUCAAAGAGACAUGGUCAACCUGUUUUCAGUGGUUUGAGGGGAUAGGACAGUGAAACGGCCAUAAACUGGAGCAUAGGAAGUUCUGCACCAAUAUGCGAAGGAACUUCUUCACAGUAAGGGUAACAGGAUACUGGAACAGGAUGCCCAGGGAGGUUGUGGAUUUUCCUUCUCUGGAGAUAUUCAUGACUUUCCUGGAUGCCUACCUGUGCAGUCUGCUGUAGGGAACCUGCUUUGCAGGCUUGAUGAUCUCUGGAGUUCCCUUCCAACCCCUAAAAUUCCAUGAGUCUGUGAUUUAGUUAGGGUAACCCAUGCUUAAGGAUCAUGUGCAUGUUAUGGCAUUUGGUGAAACAGCACUUCCCUGAUAAGUUCACAUCAAUCAAAUCUUUUAAAUUCCUAGCAAGUUUGAAGACUAAUAAAAGGCAACUAAGUAGUAAGAAAGCCUUUUUGGAUAGGAAGAUUUCUUUCCAAUAAUUCAGCUAAUCUGUUAUUACACAAAAUGCUUACCCUCUAAGGUAUGAUCCUUAUUUCAUAAAUUGUGCCAUCAACUGCACCAUCACUUAACUCCAGUUCAUGAAUUGCCCUUUUGAAAAUGAGGAGGAAGGACUGAAAAGGAAUUGGUGACUUCUGUGAGUUCUAUUAAUAAAGCUGAUUUAUAUCAGUCAUUCAAUUCUAACAUACUUAAUCAUCUGCAAUGUGAUACAGUGCAGUGAUCGUGGUGAAAAUUCAUCAGCUAAAGGUGACUGUUGGCAUCCAUAGUGUAGGCAGCAAAUAGCUGUGGAAGCAAGGGACUGGCUAGGUUGACUUUUCCCACUUCUUAAGAGGUCUGUGGCUGAAAUCUGACUUUUCAGUUAUUCCUUAUAAGUGCUUUGUUAAUUUCUGACAUGCUCACCAAACUUUUCUCCUUUUUGUGUUCUUGCACUUCUGCAAAGCUGGAGGAGAGGGAAAUAAAAGUAAGAGAGUGCAUGCUUGUCUAAUCAUGGAAGUUUGCAUGCAUCUAUGUAUCUAUAUCUAUAUCCAUACCUAUGUGUGUCUACCUAUAACUAGCACUAUUUAAAUUUGGCUAUCAGAGUAAAAUAUGGAAAUAUAAUUUAAUAUUCAUUUAAUAUUCACAUAGCCCAUUUGAAUAACUUUUUACUGUGGUUGCUAUUAGAAAUAUCCAGCCAUUACUCUCUCCCCUCCUGCUUAGCUGAGGACUUUGCAAUAAAUCCUUUUGCCUUUUGGCAAAAUCAGAAAAGAAUACAAUGAAAUAGCUUCUUUAAAAAUAUGAAGAGAAGUGACCUGAGGCUAGCUGCAAGUCAGUGAAAAGGAAACAAAUCAUUUUUAUAAUGGUUGAUUCUCCUGGAAGAUUUCUAGUGAGAUCUUCGUUCACGUGAGUCUUUUUCAGGAAACAUUUUUUUUUACAGUGUCAACACUCAGUUGCUGAGAUUUCUGGUUACAGUCUUUGGUGGUUUCUCUCUUUUUUUAUGUUUUUUUUUUUCUUUUCUUUUUUCUUUUUCUUUUUUUUUUUUUUUUCCCCAACUAGUGAUUCACAGUCUUUGGAAUAUUUAUUUUCCUGACUGGAUCAAGGAUAUUCAUACUAAAAAGACAUAGCUUCCCUUAUAUGAAAUCAUGGUAUAUUCAAAUGCACUGCCUAUGUCAGUAACUUAAGACAUAUUUAAACACCUUUAAAUGUCAAAUACCCAUUUUUUGUGCUGGUAUUUUAUUAGAAAAAUAACCAUCAGAUAUCCUGCCUAGUGAAAUAAGUCUAAAAGAUCCUUAUAAUUGAGAGGAGACUUCAGGGAAAUAUGUGAAUAUUUAAUGAAAAAAAAUUAGCAUUGGUACAAAAGUUAUUUAACAACAAUUGUCUUUGUGAAGAUCCUGCUCUCUACAGUGCCUCAUAGUACUCUACAAGUAUUAAGCCUCUCCUGGAAAUGUGGAGAGAAAGUAUCCUUUUAGCAUCUGAAGGAAUACAAUAAUAUAGGUGUAGCUGCACAAGACUCAUGCAUUUCAAAGUCAUCUUUUUUUUUUCUACACAACAAUUACUAGCUAUCUACUAAUCUAAAUUGCCCCAUGCUGCUUGCAUUCUUUAAUUUUGCUACAUUUUUCUGUCUUAUUUCUUGAAUAUUAGUUAAUUUUUCAGGGUUUAUGGCAGUUUCACAUAUUUUACAUGCAUUAUCUUUUUUUUUUUUUUUUUUUUUUUUUUUUUUUUUUUAAGAAGUGCAUAUUAGUAUCUCGUGAUUUAGAUCCUAGAGAACAAUUUAAUAUAUUUUUAUAGGACUGCUACAGGAACUUCACUAUUUUUUAAUUGGACUGUUGGAAAUAGCUCACUUGGCAUCCUUAUGUCUUUGGUCCCAGGCAUGCACUAUAAUUUCAAGACCAGAAAGGCUGAUUUCUUAUUCUGCAGAUUUCUACAUAGCAGCACAGCUGUGCUGCUGAUGGGACUGACCUUUGCUCACUAGUUAUUGAAUAUACAAAUGUUUUCUAAAGCCGUUGUGUAGCAAAAUUAUAAGCUGUUGUUUUUCUCUCAUGUACAUAAAUCACUUGUUCUAACAGAUAGGUUAGUUGCAUUUGAACCCUCAUCUGUAUUGAUUUGUAUUAUAUUAAUCCAUGGGUAACAGGGAAUGCUGCCAGAAGCAGGGAUUUAAUUUAAAACCAGAGAUGACCUAACAAUCAUGAAUUCCCAAAAUAAGGGAAAGUACAGAAAUAUGAAAAGAAAAUGUUAUCUUGUCAGUGCUUAAUCUUCUCAUAGCUACAUCAGUGAGAAGAUAAAUACUUUGAUGUUAUUACCGUUACAGUGGAUAAUAAUAUUCUUUUUUAUAUUUUCUUACUUUGUUUAGGGAUCCAAAAUCUUGAGGAAUACGCAGACAAUAAUUUAAAAAAAGCAGAUGACUUCAAAAUUAAGAAAACUAGACUUCUAGUUCUUCCAAACAUAAUGAAUACAGAAACUUUAUAAAUUGAUCUGUCUUCUGUUUCAAAGAACAGUCUUGCUUACUGUUUCUUUUGCCAGGGAACUGGACAUUAACGAAUUCGUUUUGUAAGCAACAGAUGGACAGUGAGGGGAAAAAGAAAAGAGAGAAGUUUAAAAAAGGUUAAAAAUCAAAACAAACGGCAUUUUCAUGCCUGCCUCAAAAUGCCAGUCAGGCCUUCUGUAGAAACUAUGGCCAUGCACAAUACUGUGCUUCGCUGCAAUUGGUUUAUACCCGCUUGUACAACAAAUGGUACACAAAUAAUGAAAUUACAUAAUGGAAAGUCUUCUAGAACUGGAGUGCACAAUCUAUCUUCUCAUCACCUCCUUUUGAGAAAUGUAUCUUUAACUUUGACCCUUUCAGGAAGGUAGGAUAAAAAAAAAGUUAUUUUACAAAAUACAAACAAAUGAGUCAGACUAGAGCAGGAAUUUGACAUUUUAGUACAAGAUACAAUAAAAAUGACUAAGCAGAACUGAUUAGUGUAGCAUUUAUCCUGACUUUUGUAUUUGGUAGGAUUUCAGCCUGAAUUAAAAGAAAUUCUCCACUUUUUCCUCCUCUGUUGGUGAGUUAUAAUAUAUUGCUCUUUCAACACAUUACUGUUUUAUUCUCAUUGUUUCAAAAAAACUGCUUCUAUUCUUUUCCAGAUAACACAUAUCUGGAAUUUCUUCACAGUUAAGGACAUCUUAAGAGUAACAUUUAAAUGCUUGUAAGCUAGAAUCAACUCCUUCCUUCUAACUGCCAAGUUUUUCAAGAAGGGAGUUCCAAUAUAAUGAAUCAAAUACAACUAUCCAGUAUAUCACGCAAAGAUGCUAUGAGACAGUUAAAGACUGAUAAAGACGUAUAUAUAUGCUUACAAACCGAUCCAUAUUUAGGCUUAGAGAACCUGAGUCAAAAGCAAGUACAUUGAGCUGAACAGAUAAAGGUCAACUCUUGGCCUCGUAGAUACUGUUAAUAAAACUAUCACUUAAGUAUCAAUUAUUCAGCAUCAUUAUUUAGGCUGUGAUACAUUACAGGCAAAGCUACUUGAAGACAUGCUAUGUCCAGAAGGUGAUUCUACUCCACACCUUUCUGCCAUGUUUUUUUUUUUUUUUUGUGUGUAAGUACUGUGGAACAUACAGUAACAUGGUGAGCUGUACUGACUGCAAACAUUUACAAAAUAACAUUAUUGUUCAGUUGCAUCAGGAAUUCCUCAGAAGACAUAUUAUUUAUAAUCACAGUAGAAGGGAUGUAGGAGCAUGUGCCUGGGGGCUAUUUUGACACCAAUAUGUCCAAGAUUAACUUUAAAUGUCUUACAACAAGAGAAACAAUAUGUAUGUUGGAUGUGCAUACAAGAAUAACUGCUAAUUGUCUUUUUGGGCUUCCUUAAAUAAUGUGUUUGUAAAUAAAAUUUUACAGCAGCCCACAGGAUGCUGUUCCAAUGCACUGUCCUGGGAUACGAACUGGUAUGUGCAAAAGUUACAGCAACCACAUCUCACUUCAAAGCCAGCAAAAAGUUGACUCAUCAUGAUCCUUUUUUUUCUACACAGAACUGAGAGAUUUUGAGGAAUACUUAAAAAAAGAAUACCACUUUAAUUUGUCAGUUCACAUUUCUAACCAUUCACACACCUUCAAAGCUUAGUUAUUCUUUCACUUAAGGCAUGCAGUUGUGCUGGAAUAUGCUUCAUAAAUCUAUGUUAUUGAUACUCUGGAUUUUAACUUAACAGGGACUGUCCAUGUUGCAUACAUAUGCAAAAGUUUAGUCAAGUAUAUGUGCUUUAAAUCUUCUGCCCCUUUCCUCCCUCCUUAAAUACUAAAUAUUUUUUGUCUUGUUCAGGUACUAAUGAUGUUAUAAAAUACAGACAGAAAAAUUAAAUAGCAUUUAGUGUUGAUGGAAUUUGUGAUAAUUGUUUGAACUUCAGUGAUUAUUUUGAUCCUAAUCAAAAUGAUUCGAUUUAUUUAUUUAUUUAUUUUCAAGGAAAUUUCUUCAGAUCAUGUUGGCUUAAUUUUUUUUUUCAUUAUCAUUUCUCAUCCCUAAUGAAUACUUAAUGAUGCUCAAGUUAUAUCCACAGCUUUUGUGAUAACUCACAAUAUUUCAGAGUCCAUCCCAGAAUGAAAGAACCAAUUCUCAUGCUGUGCUUUGUUUCCUUGGCUUGUGUGAGUUUACUGGGUAGAUGAGAGUUCAGCAUAUGUUCCUUAGAAUACUUAGAAUGUUUCUGAUUAAAUAAAUUUAAAAUGUAAUUUAAGUUAUUAUUUAGCAUGCCCUCUAGAAAGAAAAUACAUGGAGGUGUUUUAUAAAAGAACACCUGAAUGAUGCUGUGUGCUCUUCUGAGCAGCCUUUGACCAAAGAGAGAAUGUGAAACAAAGAUAAGAAAGUUUACUUAACACCACACUCUUAUGUAUUUGUACUGACUUACCUGAAGGAAGGCACAGGACUUGUUCCCUUUAUGAUCCACAAAAGGAAACAAACAAUAAUUGGGGUAAUGUUUGUUUGCUGUCUCCUACUGAAAUACUCACAAGGACCAGGACACAAGGGGGGCUCUUGUACUACAUUGGAAGUAGUACAGUAGUGUCAGAUAAGCUUUCCUCACUGCUGCACACUGCUGGAGCCCAAAUAGUGAAUAAUAUGAGCAGAUAUUUAGUCAACUACUACUACUUGACAUACCUUUCUUCCAUAUUGUAAUAUUUGUUGCCCAUGCCCUGGAGUAAUUGUCCUACUGUAUUUUUAAUAAUCACUUCAUUCUUGCUAUACCCAUGAAAUAUUGUCUUUAGACAAAAAGUUCACCCUGGAGGUAGCAUACCUUUUCACUUUCUGCAGUUCAAAGGAGAGUGCCUUUGGCCUUGCCACUGUUUGAAAAUUUAAUUUUUGUAAUUUCCUCAUUGCCAGCAAUAAAAGUAACAGUGGGACUGACUUCUAUACAGACGAGUUUCAUCAUAUAUCUUUUUAUCACAGCUAAGAAAUGACUGAAACACAGGGCUCUAGCUCUGCUAAUGGUAUAUUGGUGUGUGGUUGCUAUGCUGCUGUUGCUGCUGUAAGAUGGAUAUUAUUUCUUCUUAGCAAAUUGGCAUAAGUGACUUCCCCCUACUCCCCCUCUUCUCCACUGCUAACAGAUGGAACAACAGUCUUCCCAUACUCAGUAGGAGAUAUGGGAAUUAGUAGAAGUCAUCUAGCUGUGUCAUCAGGGAAUGUGUUGUUGAUGCUUGAACUAGCAGAUCGGUAUUUUUGCUGUUCUGAGUUUGUAACUAGCACUUCUUUUGCCAGAGGCUGUUUUUGUGUUUGUUGUUGAAAAUAUAAAUUCCUUCCCUCCUCCCAGUCUCCUAGACCAGCAGUAGAAGCUUUCGUAGGCUGCUGACAAACCUUUCAUGGAAAUCUUCUGGAGGAGGAAAUGCUGCACUAUCUCAUGGAUAAAACUUUAAAAUUCAACAUAGUCUUUACUGUUUACAAUGCCCAAAUGGAAUGUGGAAAGAAAACAGAGUACUUGCCCACAGAACCCUAAGAUUAUUUAAUUAUUUGAACCUAGAAGUGCAUGAAUAAAUGCUGUCCCAUCAGAUUUCUUUGCUGGUUGAAUUCUAGACUACUCAUGAGUGUAAAGAUUCUUGUAUUUGCAGCUGUUUGAUGAGUUCAAACACUAGCCCUGUAUGCAGUUUACAGUUUACCAGAUGUACAUAAUAGAGAGACAACAAAAAUUAUCUUAUUUUGAUGACUUUAUUUUUUCUCUUUUAGUUCUGUGAAUUCUGUACAGCUCUGAACAUGAUUUACAGUUGCAGCCUUGUCAGAAGUUAAAAGAACUUCAUACCUUCAUUUGUUCUCACUGAACUUAGAUUUUAUGUGAUGUAAGAUUUGUAAUGGUGUUGUGCGUUGAAAUGGAAGUGCAAAGAGAUUCCUUAGGAUGCAAUUCGUUUGCAGCUCACUGCCUCUGAUUGAUAUGAAAGGCUGUUUUACACACUGUUAAUGGAUUUGGGCCAUAGCAAUAUUUUACGCUUUACAAAAAGCUGGGUUUUAGGUACAGUGGCAACUCUGGUGGCUUGCCAGAAUAACUGACCUUGGUUUAUCAGUGGGAGUCAUAGAAUCAUAGAAUAGCCUGAGUAGGAAGGGACCCAUAAGGAUGAUUGAGUCAGCUCCUUGGUCCUUGCAUGACCACCCAAAUUUCAAACCUUAUGUCUGAGAGCACUGUCCAAACGCUCCUUGAACUCCGGCCCUGGGCAGCCUGAUCCAUGCCCACUACCCUCUGGUGCAGCCUAGAAGCCUUCCCUAACACCCAGCUGCCCCUCCCCUGACAGCUCCAUGCUGUUCCCUUGGGCCCUGUUGCUGUCACAGAGAGCAGAGCUCAGUGCUGCCCCUCGUCUCCCUGUGAGGAGCUGCAGCUGCCAUGAGACCUCCCCUCAGCUCCUCUGCUCUGCGCUGAGCACACCAAAGAACCUCAGCCAUUUCUUUUGUCUUCCUAUCUAGACCCUUUUCCAUCUUUGUAGUGUAUGAGUCUCUAUGAUGUCAGCCUUCAAGACCAUAGCAUUCAUGGUGAAAUGGUAGAAGUGAAGUUUUUUUUAUCGAGAAGUCCUUUGAGUAAUACAGGACAGAUGGAUGAACUCAGCUGUUUUGAUAGUCAGUCCAGUAAAAGUGGUAAAAUGCAGAGAAGGCUGACUGGCAGUUGGAGGUUGGAAAUCAAGGAUAUUCUUUUGGGUGGGUACCUUUGUAGUUAUUCAUUCAUAACUCACUGCAGGACAUUUCACAUAAGAUGCUGUGAAAACAUAGACUUUCUGCCAAAUGUUUGGAUUUUGGACAGAGAUCUCACUUGCUUACACUGAUAAUAGUAUAAACAUUACAUGGGGGCAGGAAAAAACACAGAAACAAACAAUUUUAUAUUGUUAAAAGGAGGUCCAAAAUAUCUUGGCAGUGACCAGUUUGUUAUUUACUGCCUCAGGUUUCCUUGCCAGCAUUUAAAUUAAAAUGGACUAGAAUCAAAUCACUUCUAUCAGUACCUUGCUCUAACCUUUGGUUAAGCAGAUCAUUUUCAGCUUGUUAGAAUGUUUAAUCUAUAACAAAACUGCAUCACACUAUCACUCCUUGGCACAUUUGUUUGACUGGUGAAUAGGAUCCUACCCAGGAUCAUUUUCCUGCACAGCUACAGAAUUUUAAUUCCAUGGUCUCUUUAUAAGCCACUUGAUGCUGUCAUCUGCCUAGUUUGCAAAACAUUUUUUCUCCUUCUGAGAAAUGUGAUUUAUUAUAUUAUUACCCAAAGAGAAUGUCAUUUCAGUAGUGCCAAAUGUGCACCAUUCAAGAGAAAAAGACAUUCAAAGAGAAAAGAUCUUCACCGUUACAGUGAGGCUCUAUGAGUCUGUGGUCUGUGAAGACAUAUUUCAUUCAGUUCUAAAACCUCCUCUCCAAAUAGUUCAAGAUUGUCUAUUUGUGUUAAUUUCUUUUGCUUAGCACUGGUGACAUAUUUGUCAGUACUCAAUGACCACACUUUCACAGAAUGAUGACUACGGACAAAGCCAACAACAAAAAAAACUCACAGACUUUUCUAGAGUAGCCUCUCCUACUUUCUGUGACAUGUCAUAAUUUCAUCUCUGUUUUUAGAACUUGCAGCAUGCAUCAGAAAUGUUGAUGGUUCUUUUUAAAUUUCAUAUGAAAAUCAAGAGAGAUAUUAACUGAAUUUCUUACAAAAUAGAGAGUUGACAGAUCCCAGUUCUAUGAAGUGAGGAAUCCAGUGAGUUAUAUUUGUUACACUUAGACAGCUCACAGUCAAAGACAAGUGGUAAUAACAAGAAGUCAUAUUUGUUCACAAGAGAAUAUUGCAUGCUAUGAAUGCACAUCCAAAUAUUAACUAAGUUGCAUUUUCUAUUUGUUUUAAUAUGUCUAUUUGUGAAUGGCAGCCAUAAAGAUAGAAAUGCUAGGUUUUUUUUUGUUUGUUUGUUUUUUUAAAUGAGUACUCUCAGAGCUGUAAACUCUUACUUAAGAAAAGAAUUGUCUAGAGAAGAGAUUUCUUUCAGUAGAUGAGUGUUAUUAAGAAGUAUUUCCUGACCUGAAACUACCUCUUGGGGAAGAAAAGCAGUAGGCUGAUAAGCACAUUUCUUAAUUCUCAAGAAUUCCACUUUGUGUAUAAAGUAAGAGAGAAUCCCAGGACAGAUGUGAAAAGGCUGACGUGGAGAUGAUAUGUCAAACUUAACUGGCUUUGAAAAAAGGGUUAAAUAACCUUGGUUCAACCAAAGCGAAGGGUUAAGAGACUGACAACCUCAUCAGUUAAGAAAAUACCAAAAGUAUCCUCUCAAGAUUACUGUGACUAUAGCUAUAUAAUCUAUCCUUUUCUGUUCUUUCAGGUUCCUUCUCAGCAGAUGAUAGAUUGGGAAGCAAAACCCAGUGGCUCUCUCUGUUCUAGCUUCUGCAGUUCAAAUGUCCUGCUGCUUCCAUACUUGAUUAUGGAUUUGAUGUGUAUUUAGGGGCAGUAUUUAGUUCAGAAAAUUUAUGUUAUUAAACUGUUGGCAUGAUUUAUGUAUGAAUUAGACAUCUGUUCAUAGUUCUGUCAGUCGUCUCACAAGAAGAGCCUUCCUAAGACAUUUAAUGAUGAAGAAAACAGAAUGCAGUGUAGAAAAUUCUACUGAGCAGCUUAUGUUGCAUCCAUAUGACAAUUUUAUCAAACCCUAUUAAUUUUUUUUUUUUUUUUUAAUUCAGGUUAGCAAUCUUUGUGGAAGAGGCAAUAAUCAAAGGCAAAUGCAUCCAAUUUGUUAGAGCAUCAUACUUUCAAUUUUAUCGUUGGGAAGAUGGUUUUUGUUCCUUUAUAAAGUAGCUUUUAGCAUCAUGGGCACAGGUGUUUUUUGUUAUUGUUGUUUAGUUUUGUUUAUAUAUAUAUAUGUAUGCGGAUGAUUGCUAACUAAAAUCAUUGCCAUAUUAUUGUACAAAGAUAUUACUAAAUUUUGAUAACUAGAAUAUGCCUCUAGUGAGGAAAGAUCUAUUCCUAACACCACAUGGAUUUUUUAAAUUCCCUGUUUCAUGUUGUGUCCUACCUAUAUAUAUAUGCAAGUUUUAAAAUUUAAAGUGUUCAAAUAUAACUUUUCAGUAUAUUUCACUGGAAAAAAGAGUUUUGCUUUAAAAAUCCUUCAGCUUAAGUUUUUGUUUUGCAUGCAUAUAUUUCCCCACUGCAAUUCCUUUUCUGUUUUCAUCAAUGUUGUAUGAGAGAAGAAAGGAAAAGGAUACAGGGAAUACUUUUAUCAACGACUCCACAUCUUGACAAGGAGUACAUAUUAGAGAAAGCAGCAAACAUACUGUUAGGUAUGAAGCAACAGUAAGACAUAUACUUUCUGCUCCAGUCCUUUCAGUUUUGUUCCAAGAUAUUAUUAUAACAGUCUCAAAUAUACGUACUUUCAGUUUAAGAAAUAAGGGAUUAUUUCAGAAAAUAUCUCAGCUUGAUUCCCUCACUAUUGUAGUUUAUCCCAAGGGGAAACAAUUAGAUGCAUUCACUCAUGUACUUUGUCUGAUAAUCGCUAUAGCAGUUAAAUUUCAGCAGCAUUUCUUAUCUAGUUCUAUUAUCAUUAAUUCUAUUUUAUUUAAAAUGUUAAUAUCUGGGUUAAAAUCUUCCACAGGCAUAUUCUGAUACAUCUAUCCUCCCUGAAAAGUAUGAGCAAAAAUAUGUUUAUUAAAACAAAUUCAAAAACUACUUUUCUGCUAUAUAUCUAACUUGAAAUAUUUUAAAAGUAAGAGAAGCAAGAACACAGCUGGGGGUAGAAAGUGAAAAGUGAGCCAGAAAAUAAUCUUGACUGAGAAGUAUUUUUGAACAGUUCUGUUGGUAAUCAAAUUUUGUUUCACUUAGUGAAUUUAUGAAAACAAAUACAAGCCACAUCCCCGACAAACAUGUACAGAUCUCACACCAUAAAAUGAAGAACUCUUGUUUACUGCUGAUGAAAAUAUAUAGUUACUGUUGAUGGUAGUGUUGAAAAAUAGUUUUUAUGUAGCUGAGAAUUUGCUCUAUCAAAUAGUGUUGUAUUCUUUGUUGUAGUUAUCACGGGAAUAAAUAGGAGGCAUUACUUUUGGGGAGACCUACAUAAAUUGAACUGGGCAGAAUAUCACAAACCAGAGAUCUUUAUGUUUCUCUGAACAUGAUAGGUUCUAAUGGCAUAAAAUUAAGUUUUUUCUUUUACUUUUUUCAAAUGCUCACCCCACUGUUAACACACAGGACACACUGAAGAGAUAAGAAGCAUUCAUGUCAACAUUUUCCAAAUACCUGACUCUCUUUUUUGUUUUGUUUUGUUGAAACAAAACUAUUUUUUCAAAGGAAGGGAUUACAUUAACUGUGAUCAUAAAAGACUUUAGCUAAUUUGUCUAUUUUCAGUAACGAAGACUAGGAAAAAGGAAACUAAUAAAAGUGAUGCUUUGUUGUUUAGAGAUACCAGCUGUCCUACAUGGCUACCCAAGAAGUGAUAGCAGAGGCUAAUAGAAAGGCUAAUAGGGCCCUGCAAUAGAGGAACAUGCAAUGAUAAAUGAUGGCUUGUUUCCCAUAGUUGAAGGGCAGCCUGGAAGGUUUUGGGAAAAUGUACAGAGGCUGAGGUAAAACAUCAUUUGAACAGUCUUAUGACUUUGUUUUGUUUUAUGUUGUUUUUCUCCAAAGCAUUUUUCUUCCAGUGAUAUCUUGAUUAGACAAAAAAUCUUUCUUUCUUUUUAUUGAAAUAUCUGCUCAAAAGUAGCUAAAGGCUUGCAUUUGGGUGUGAGACCAAGUGUAAGAUCAUGCACCCAAGUGCAAGGUCCUGCAUCUGAGUCAGAGCAAUUCCAAGCACAAAUACAGGCUGAGCAGAGAAUGGAGUCAGAUCAACAAUGUGGAGAAGGUUUUGAGGGUUCUGGUGGACAAAAAUUUUGACACAAGCAAGCAGAGUUGCAUUUGCAGACUGGAAGGCCAACUGUAUUCUAGGCUGUGUUUCUAUUCUGCCCUUGUAAGGCCCCAUCUGGAGUACUUCAUCCAGGCCUGGGGCCCUCAGCACAAUAAAAGCAUAGAGGAGUUGGAGCAGGUCCAGAGAAGGGCCACAGAGAUUCUCAGAGGGCUGAAGCACUUCUCCUCUGAAGACAGCUUGAGGGAGCAGAGCUUGUUCAGCCCGGAGAAGACUCUGGGGAGACCUCACUGUGGCCUUCCAGUACCUAAAAGGGGUCUACAGUAAAGAAGGAGAGAGCCUCUUUCUCGGAGAGUGUAGUGACAGGACAAGAGGUCUUGGUUUUAAACUAACGGAGGGUAAGUACAGAGGGUAAGUUUAGAUUAGACACAAUGAAUACAUUUUUUACUGCAAGGAUGGUAAGGCACUGGCACAUGCUGCCCAGAGGAACUAUGGAUGCCCUGUCCCUGGAGAUGUUCAAGGCCAGACUGGCUGGGGCCAUGGGCACCCUGAUCUAGAGGGCAGCAACCAUGUCUUAUGGCAGUUGACUGAAACUGGAUGGUCUUCAAGGUCCUUCCAAACCCCAAUCAUUAUGUGAUAAUAAG